UACGGAGGGGCUAGCGUUGUUCGGAAUUACUGGGCGUAAAGCGCACGUAGGCGGCUUUGUUAAGUUAGAGGUGAAAGCCCGGGGCGUCAACCCCGGAAUUGCCUUUAAGACUGCAUCGCUAGAAUUGUGGAGAGGUGAAGUGGAAUUCCGAGUGUAGAGGUGAAAUUCGAUAGAUAGUUCGGAAGAACACCGAGUGGCGAAG
rnacentral:rRNA from 1 species